AAGGUUGGGUAGGCAAUCGCGACUAAUUUAAUUUAGUCGAGGAAAGUCCGGACACCACAGGAUAACAGUGCUGGGUAACGCCCAGGGGUCGUCUGACGACUACGGAAAGUGGCACAGAAAAUAUACCGCCAAGAAAUUGGUAAGGGUGAAAAGGUGUGGUAAGAGCGCACCGCAUUUUCAGUGAUGAAAAUGGCAGGCAAAACCCCACUCGGUGCAAGACCAAAUAGGCCUAACUUGAUUCUAUCCUGAUCGUUUAGUUUGGCGGGUAGGUUGCUUGAAUUCAUGAGUAAUCAUGAAUCUAGAUGAAUGAUUGCAGCGGAAACAUUCCGACACAGAA
rnacentral:RNase_P_RNA from 1 species